GACGAACGCUGGCGGCGUGCCUAAUACAUGCAAGUCGAGCGCAGGAAAUCAUCCGAACCCUUCGGGGGGACGUUGAUGGAAUGAGCGGCGGACGGGUGAGUAACACGUAAAGAACCUACCCUCAGGUCUGGGAUAACCACGAGAAAUCGGGGCUAAUACCGGAUGGGUCAUCGGACCGCAUGGUCCGAGGAUGAAAGGCGCUUCGGCGUCGCCUGGGGAUGGCUUUGCGGUGCAUUAGCUAGUUGGUGGGGUAAUGGCCCACCAAGGCGACGAUGCAUAGCCGACCUGAGAGGGUGAUCGGCCACACUGGGACUGAGACACGGCCCAGACUCCUACGGGAGGCAGCAGUAGGGAAUCUUCCGCAAUGGACGAAAGUCUGAUGGAGCAACGCCGCGUGAACGAUGAAGGCCUUCGGGUCGUAAAGUUCUGUUGUAAGGGAAGAACAAGUGCCGCAGGCAAUGGCGGCACCUUGACGGUACCUUGCGAGAAAGCCACGGCUAACUACGUGCCAGCAGCCGCAGUAAGAC
rnacentral:rRNA from 1 species